rnacentral:rRNA from 1 species
CUACGGGUGGCACCAGUGGGGAAUAUUGCACAAUGGAGGAAACUCUGAUGCAGCGACGCCGCGUGAGUGAAGAAGUAUUUCGGUAUGUAAAGCUCUAUCAGCAGGGAAGAUAGUGACGGUACCUGACUAAGAAGCACCGGCUAAAUACGUGCCAGCAGCCGCGGUAAUACGUAUGGUGCAAGCGUUAUCCGGAUUUACUGGGUGUAAAGGGAGUGUAGGUGGCAUGGCAAGUCAGAAGUGAAAGCCCAGGGCUCAACCCUGGGACUGCUUUUGAAACUGCCGAGCUAGAGUGCAGGAGAGGUAAGUGGAAUUCCUAGUGUAGCGGUGAAAUGCGUAGAUAUUAGGAGGAACACCAGCGGCGAAGGUGGCUUACUGGACUGUAACUGACACUGAGGCUCGAAAGCGUGGGGAGCAAACAGGAUUAGAUACCCCAGUAGUC